rnacentral:rRNA from 1 species
AUUGAACGCUGGCGGCAGGCCUAACACAUGCAAGUCGAACGAGUGGCGGACGGGUGAGUAAUGUCUGGGAAACUGCCUGAUGGAGGGGGACAACUACUGGAAACGGUAGCUAAUACCGCAUACUAUCGGAUGAACCCAUAUGGGAUUAGCGAGUAGGUGAGGUAAAGGCUCACCAAGGCAACGAUCCGUAGCUGGUUUGAGAGGACGACCAGCCACACUGGGACUGGGACACGGCCCAGACUCCUACGGGAGGAAGCAGUGGGGAAUUUUGGACAAUGGGGGAAACCCUGAUCCAGCCAUCCCGCGUGUAUGAUGAAGGCCUUCGGGUUGUAAAGUACUUUUGGCAGAGAAGCGGUAUCUGCAGAAUAAGCACCGGCUAACUACGUGCCAGCAGCCGCGGUAAUAC